rnacentral:rRNA from 1 species
CGAAAUUCGAUAAGUAAUGUGAAUUGCAGAAUUCAGUGAAUCAUCGAAUCUUUGAACGCACCUUGCG